rnacentral:rRNA from 1 species
GAAUAUUAGUCAAUGCUCGAAAGAGUGAACUAGCUAACUGAAAUCAAUUAUAAAAAUUGAUAACAUAAGGGAAAAAAAUGAUAUUACCUUAUUAUUAGUGUCGUCCAAAUCUGGUGCCAGAAGACUCGGUAAGGCCAGAGACACAAACGUUAAUCGUCUUAAUCAGGCGUAAAGGGUUUGUAGGCGGCUUUUAAAUUUAAAAAUAAAAAAGUUAAGAAUAAAAGCUAGAAUCAAAUAGAGGAUAUAACAAAUAAUGCUUAGAGUAGGUCUGAUAUCCUUAGAUACUAAGUAGAAUAUUAAAGGCGAAAGCUUUUUUCCAAAAAUGAUUGACGCUCAGAAACGAAGGUGAGGAUAGGAAAUAGGAUUAGAUACCCAAAAUACCCCUCUCUGUCAACGAUGAAUGGUAGUUAUUAGUAAUAAAAUUAUUAAUGGCAAUGUUAACACGAUAACCAUUCCGCCUUGUGAGUACAACUGCAAAGUUGAAAACAAAAAAAUUAGUCGGUUUCGGAGCAAACGAAGUGAAGCAUGUUAUUUAAUUC